GUAAUGCGAUUGUAACAAUUCCAUGUGCUCCCUGUUUACAUCAAAAGAAGCCCUGCAACUGGCCAUGUACAGCCCCUUACAACUGCUGCACGACGACGUUUGAUCACAAACCAACAAAAUGGUUACAAGUAUGAGGGCUGUAUAUGUAGUAUUUCAGGGGGUCCGAUCGGUUCAGCCUAUUCUUGUGGGGCAAAGUGUAACUUUUAAGUUACAUGAUAUAAAAGGGGUGCAAUGGCAGCUAGGGUUUCAGUUGUUCAUUUUGUUAUGCAUCAGACUCUCAUAUUCUCUCUGGAUUGUUCUUCCGUUCCAUUGAAGAUUUGCUGAAGAUCUAUUGCUGAUCUUGUUUCGUUGUUACUUCUGUAUUGUUGUUGAUCAUGUGGAUCAUCAUAUUUUGGUUGUAUCGUUCUGAUUAAUCAAGUGAUUAUCAUCAGUUGAUUA